CUGAACGCUGGCGGCGUGGCUAAGACAUGCAAGUCGAACGGGUGUAGCAAUACACCAGUGGCGGACGGGUGAGUAAUGAAUCGCUAACGUACCCCGGAGCCUGGGAUAGCUGCCCGAAAGGGCAGGUAAUACCAGAUGAGACCACAGAGAGGCAUCUUUCGGUGCUCAAAGCCGCAAGGCACUCUGGGAGCGGGCGAUUUUGUUCAGCUGUUGGUGAGGUAACGGCUCACCAAGGCGACGACGCAUAGCCGGACUGAGAGGUUGGCCGGCCACAUUGGGACUGAGACACUGCCCAGACUCCUACGGGGGGCUGCAGUAACGAAUCUUCCGCAAUGCACGAAAAUGUGACGGAGCGACGCCGCGUGUGGGACGAAGCCCUUCGGGGUGUAAACCACUGUCAGGGGAAAGAAAGUUCUGAUCUACCCCAGAGGAAGGCACGGCUAACUCUGUGCCAGCAGCCGCGGUAAGACAGAGGUGCCGAGCGUUAGGCGGAAUCACUGGGCUUAAAGCGUGUGUAGGCGGAGUUCUAAGUACCUUGUGAAAUCCACGGCUCAACCGUGGAACUGCUUGGUAUACUGGUUCUCUUGAGCCACCUAGGGGCAACCGGAACAAACGUGGGAGCGGUGAAAAUGCGUAGAUAUCGUUUGGAACGCCAAUGGUGAAAAACAGGUUGCUGGGGUUGUGCUGACGCUGAGACACGAAAGCCAGGGGAGCAAACGGGAUUAGAUACCCCGGUAGUCCUGGCUGUAAACGAUGUCGACUAGAUCGUAGUGGGCCUCUGACGCCAUUAUGGUCGAAGCAAAAGUUGCUAAGUUCGACCGCCCUGGGAAGUACGGUCCGCAAGGCUUAAAACUCAAAGGAAUUGACGGGGGCUCACACAAGCGGUGGAGCAUGUGGUUCAAUUCGAAGGCAAACGCGCAGAACCUUACCUGGGCUUGACAUGCCAGGAUUAUCCCCAUGAAAGUGGGGUAGGCCCUUCGGGGUACAACUGGUACAGGUGCUGCAUUGGCUGUCGUCAGCUCGUGUCGUGAGAUGUUCGGGGUUAAGUCCCUUAACGAGCGAAACCUUUGCCCUUAGUUACCAGCGGGUUAUGCCGGGGACUCUAAGGGGACUGCCGGUUUGUCAAACCGGAGGAAGGUGGAGAUGACGUCAAGUCCUCAUGGCCUUUAUGCCCAGGGCCACACACGUGCUACAAUGGUCGGUACAAACCGUCGCAAAUCCGCGAGGAUGAACUAAUCGGAAAAGGCCCGGCCUCAGUUCGGAUUGGAGUCCGCAACCCGACUCCAUGAAGCUGGAAUCGCUAGUAAUCGCAGAUCAGCACGCUGCGGUGAAUACGUUCCCGGGCCUUGUACACACCGCCCGUCACAUCACGAAAGUGGACUGUACUAGAAGUCGGUGAGCCAACCGCAAGGAGGCAGCCGCCCAAGGUAUAGUUCAUG
rnacentral:rRNA from 1 species